rnacentral:rRNA from 1 species
AGCGAACGCUGGCGGCAGGCUUAACACAUGCAAGUCGAACGCUCCGCAAGGGGAGUGGCAGACGGGUGAGUAACGCGUGGGAACGUGCCCUAAGGUACGGAAUAACUUCGGGAAACUGAAGCUAACACCGUAUGUGACCGAGAGGUGAAAGUUUAUCGCCUUAGGAUCGGCCCGCGUCAGAUUAGCUAGUUGGUGGGGUAAUGGCCUACCAAGGCGACGAUCUGUAGCUGUUCUGAGAGGAAGAUCAGCCACACUGGGACUGAGACACGGCCCAGACUCCUACGGGAGGCAGCAGUGGGGAAUCUUGGACAAUGGGCGCAAGCCUGAUCCAGCCAUGCCGCGUGGAUGAUGAAGGCCUUAGGGUUGUAAAAUCCUUUCGCCGAGGACGAUAAUGACGGUACUCGGAGAAGAAGCUCCGGCUAACUUCGUGCCAGCCGCCGCGGUAACAC